GGCGCUUUGCCUCUGCUGCAGCACAUUUGUGUUUGAACGACUGACAACGGACUACUCUGUUAAUAAGAAAGAUUUGGAAACCAUUUAAAAGUUUAAAGAAGCAUGAAUAAUCUUCCUCCGCAUAUUUCUGGCAUUGCGACUCAAUGCCUUAGAGUCGACUGCUGUCAAAGGUUUCGAUUACCGAUGCGGUGAGGAGAGACCUGAGGUUCAAUGUCACUCAAAUCAUUGGCGGUGCAGGCUCUUUUCUUCUAUGCAGGUUCAGCUGUGACAGCUCCUCUUCUGAUUGGCUGCCUGGAAGCUGCAGGAACUCCCCCACCAUUGGACCAGCAGAGGACCGCGAACCAAUCAGAUGGUUAAUCAGCCUUACCUGUUCCUAAUAUGCCAAGAAGGACACAGAUGCUGACUUUUCCCUCAACUGGAAUCUGCAGACCAACUUGGAGAAAAAAAAAAUUAUAAUUUAACCAGAAACAAAGUUAUAAAGUGCAAAGAUUUCACUUCUCAGAAAGCACAUUUCAUUAAGGGAAACUGGAAAGUGGGAUAGCAACCGUUUAUGUAAUAGACUGAACCAACUCCUUACUGUUCAGCUGCUUCUGUUCCUCCCAGCUCUAAAUGGAAGCGUAUGGGGGAACAACGCCUCCUCUAAGGUUCACAGGUAACUUUUAAAACUCAUCUAAAAAGUAUCGAUUUUACAGAUCGCCCUUCAGCCAGACUGAGAUUUGAUUUUUGCCCAACUUUUACUGCCACUGAUUUGAUUUGUUUGAACACAUUUGCAUUGACUUUUUAAUUCCUUGAGGAAUGUGAGUUCAUCUUAUUUGCCUUCCUGUUUGCCGCUUGGUUUAAGGCCAGGAGUGGAAGCACUUUAUCGAUUCGGUGAAAAACAAACCCAGAUUAAUGAUGGCCUUUUUUUCACAUUUUAAACUCUUGCAAAUAGUCGCCUGCACUCUAAUCCCAGGCAGGAGGGAAUCGCAUGAUUCACUGGAUAAGGAUACAAAGGAACCACUAUGAUGGGUUCAAAAUGUCAGGUGGGUUCCAACAGGUGCUGUGGGUGUUGGUCCCACAUGGCCCCAUUGCUUGGCAGUCGUGUCAGGUUUGGAGGGAAACUUUUAAAUUAAUUUAAAAUCAUAUUGUUGUUGUUUUAUGUCACACUGUCAGUGGCGUUUCGGUGUGCAGCCUUGUUUCUGGGCGUUGGGGUUUUUGGCUCUGCAUUUAGGCUUCAUUCAUUUGUUCUGCAUCAGGUCAUGUUGUAUGUUUCGGUUUUUUUAUAUUGUUGGUUUUGCCAGAUUCUUUGGAUUUGAGUUUGAGCAUAUUUGAUGCAGGUCUGCAGUGUUUUUCGUUUGUUGCAGAGAUUUAAUUGAUGAAAGUGUUUAUUAUAAGCAACUAGUCAUUAUUUUUGCUCUUUGUGUUUUUGCAGUUCUAUCAUUGUUCCCUGAGUUUCCUGGGUCUUUCUGUUGUCCGGUGUUAAGAAUUAAAAAGAGAAAUAACUUGAUUUAGCUCGUUAAUUAAUUCUUUGUCCCGAAUUCUUGUGUCUGUGUAAGUGUGCAGACAGAAAAGAGCAAUCAUACGACGUCAGAUUUCAGAUAUCCAGAGUUUUAUCCAAAAGUGAAUACAAAUACAUACAGAAUAACAGAACACCAUUUACACCCAGAUUAUCAUGAAGUCAACACCCAAUGACAAAACAGAAUAUUACCUGAUUCAAAAAUGCAUUUUUGGGAACCACUCACUCAUCACCAAGCGAUUCGAACUUCUGCUGUAAAACAAAAUCAUUUUAUAGACUGCGUAUUCUCCUCAUUUAAAUAUAUGCAUUAGGAGGUGUGUUCUUUUCCUUUGUGUGGGCUGUCUCAAUGUUAAUUUUAUCACCUCUUAGACCCAAACCCCCAGCUCUUCUUGUACCAGGCUCCGACCUGAUUUACAGCGUGGAGCUGGAACGUUAUCUCUGCCUCAAGAUGCUUUCACAAGAAAGUAGUUGGUGUUUUUUUUAUUGCCCUGAUAGCCAAUACACUCCCUGUCUGAAAUGUUCCUUAAGGAGUAUAAGACUGCUUUCUGAUUAGGAAUUUAUGUAAGUUCUGAGAGUCACCAGCUGUCCCAGUUUGGAUUUGUAUCUAAGUUUAUCUUAACCUAAAAGUUAACUUAUGUACUAUUGUGCUACUUUAAAAUUCUAUUUCAACACCGGCCAGCUUUCGGAUUGUGUUGCUUUAUGUGUGAGGGCGGAUUAUUUUUCCUUUGUUUUUUUUUCUAAGUUUGUACAUCUCAUGUUUCGUUUCGGGUCACUUCCCAUGUCAUAAGCUUUCCAUCUAUCCAUCUUUUCACAUUCUGGUCCCUCGUGGGGUCAGAUGCCUAUGAGGGACCAGGGACGCUCCGGGCGAGAGGCGGGGUCACCCUGGACAGGUGCAACACAGAAACAGACAGGACACACAACCGUGCACACACACUCACAUAUAGGAAGAAUUUAGAGAAACCAAUGAACCCGACAGUCAUGUCUUUUUUUGUUUUUUUGGACCGAGGAAGCCGGAUUACCCAUGUAUCCAGGUUGCUGUUAGUCUUAAAUAUCUGCAACCUGAUCCUGCUUGGAGUGUGAUCCUAUAUAUAUGAGAUAGGAGAUUACAUGUAAUUAUUCUGCGGGGAACAUUUGCAGUGUUUCACGCUGGUUUGCCUGCCUGAAGUGGUGUUUGGAUUCGGGUCGAAUGUCAUUGGAUUGACGAAUGGAUGAAGUUAUUGGGAAACCCAAUGACAAAUGUGAUGACAAACGUUGUCAGUCGACUUUAUUCUCGUUGCAGGAUCAAAGGUGGGUCAUAUCAAACUGGGAUGUGUGCAGCGCAAGCAGCCAGACCACAAAACAAUGUUUCAUGUUUCUAACAACAGAAGGACGAGGAUUUGGCCAGAGAGGAGAGGAGGAAGAAGAGGAGUGAGGCUUUGGCAGAGGAGUUGAGAGUUCAAACAGGAAGAGGCUUAGGAUAAAACGCUCAUUUCUGUCAUCGAAAUGAUUUACAGCACACAACUAGAUGCUGAUGGAGUUCCUCUCCCUGCGUUUUCCUCAAGCAGAUUCUCUUAGUUCUGUUCCCAUUUCUACCUAUUUUUCUUUAGUCUGGAAUUUUGCAAAUGACAGUAAAAUGCGUUCAUGUGAAUCUGAUCCAGUCUGUUGCCACUGAUUUCCCAUAAUUCUAAUUGACAGGCCUUGUCAUAAAAACUUUAUUUUACGACAGAACAUCAGCAGAAUAAUGUAGGAAACACAACUCAUCAAUUUGACCGACUUAUCCAAACACCAGGAAACCAGGAUGGGUCAUUUUGAGGCGCUGACAUGUUCACUGAUUUAGUCCUGAGAGAUGAACUGAGGGUGCUGCAGGAGAGACGUUGUCUCAUGUUUUGCCACUUGAACAAGUCGUUCUGUGAAAUGCUCUGGCUGUUUGGGAAAGCCUGGGAACUUCCCAAAUGAUUUGAGAGAACAGAUGGAUAGAAAAAUGUUGGGACAGUUCCUAUUCCUAAUAAAAUACAAAUAGUUUCUCUCUUUCUCUCUAGUGUCGUAGUUAGAGCAGAAAUGUUGGCAGGAAGCUCAGAGGAACUGAACACCAGCAGGACCAGACACAGAACUGGUCUAAAGAUAAUAAUCUUACAUAAGGAUUGUGCUUUCAGGGCUAAUAAGGGCAGUUCACAAAAAGAAAAAGAAAAAUAAAUUUAAAAAAACCUAAUUAAAAAAGAGACUGAAGCCUGUUUGCACAGCAGAGCAUUCAGCCAGGGCUUAAAGACACACAGCAUGUCAGAGAGUCACUGAGUGGGAAUGUGGACGUUUAUUCUAAAUAGAGGAAACAUGUUCAUAAGUUGUACAUUUACAGAAUAGAGAUGAUUUCUGUCCUUAAAGACACAUUGAUGAAGUGGAUGACUGCAGUUGCUCCGGUGCCACAUGGGUGCUUCUAGAGUUCUGCUCAGAGAUCCAGUCUGGGUGAUCUGACCACUGAUACAUCAUCAUCAUCUACCAGCAGAUCAAUAUGAUCUCUGAUCAAUCACUCCCUCUGAAUCCCUCCAUUAGUCCCUGAUGUUCUCCAUCAAGGUGAUGUUUGAUUAUACACACCUCGAUCACCUUAAAAACAAUCAAACCUGUUGAUUAUUUGUGAUCAGCAGGUUUGAGUUAAUCUGCUGAUCCAAUUUUAGUGAGAAUGAAAUGGAAAUGGAUUUUAUGCGCUUUGACGCACGGAGCAAAGAGAUGAAUCUGCGUUACAAAU